UACAGAGGUCUCGAGCGUUGUUCGGAUUCAUUGGGCGUAAAGGGUGCGUAGGUGGUUUGGUAAGUCGGAUGUGAAAUCCCGGGGCUCAACCCCGGAACUGCAUUCGAUACUGCUUUAACUUGAGUGCUGGAGAGGAGAUCGGAAUUUACGGUGUAGCAGUGAAAUGCGUAGAUAUCGUAAGGAAGACCAGUGGCGAAAGCGGCGCACUGGACCAUAACUGACGCUGAUGCGCGAAAGCUAGGGGAGCAAACAGG
rnacentral:rRNA from 1 species